GAUGAACGCUAGCGGCAGGCCUAAUACAUGCAAGUCGGACGGGAUUGAGUAGCUUGCUUUUCAUGAGAGUGGCGCACGGGUGCGUAACACGUAUGUAACCUACCUUAAUCAGGGGGAUAGCCUCUCGAAAGAGAGAUUAACACCGCAUAAAAUCAAUUUAUGGCAUCAUAGUAUGAUCAAAUAUUUAUAGGAUUAAGAUGGGCAUGCGGAACAUUAGCUAGUUGGUAAGGUAACGGCUUACCAAGGCUACGAUGUUUAGGGGAUCUGAGAGGACGACCCCCCACACUGGUACUGAGACACGGACCAGACUCCUACGGGAGGCAGCAGUAAGGAAUAUUGGUCAAUGGGCGCAAGCCUGAACCAGCCAUGCCGCGUGCAGGAAGACGGCCCUACGGGUUGUAAACUGCUUUUGUACCGGAAUAAACCUUUGUAUGUAUACGAAGCUGAAUGUACGGUAAGAAUAAGGAUCGGCUAACUCCGUGCCAGCCGCCGCCGUAA
rnacentral:rRNA from 1 species